GGGUUGUGAGGUUAAGCGACUAAGCGUACACGGUGGAUGCCCUGGCAGUCAGAGGCGAUGAAGGACGUGCUAAUCUGCGAUAAGCGCCGGUAAGGUGAUAUGAACCGUUAUAACCGGCGAUUUCCGAAUGGGGAAACCCAGUGUGAUUCGUCACACUAUCAUUAACUGAAUCCAUAGGUUAAUGAGGCGAACCGGGGGAACUGAAACAUCUAAGUACCCCGAGGAAAAGAAAUCAACCGAGAUUCCCCCAGUAGCGGCGAGCGAACGGGGAGGAGCCCAGAGCCUGAAUCAGCAUGUGUGUUAGUGGAAGCGUCUGGAAAGGCGCGCGAUACAGGGUGACAGCCCCGUACACAAAAGCGCAUGUGCUGUGAGCUCGAUGAGUAGGGCGGGACACGUGGUAUCCUGUCUGAAUAUGGGGGGACCAUCCUCCAAGGCUAAAUACUCCUGACUGACCGAUAGUGAACCAGUACCGUGAGGGAAAGGCGAAAAGAACCCCGGCGAGGGGAGUGAAAAAGAACCUGAAACCGUGUACGUACAAGCAGUGGGAGCACCCUUCGGGGUGUGACUGCG
rnacentral:rRNA from 2 species